rnacentral:rRNA from 1 species
AUUGAACGCUGGCGGCAUGCCUUACACAUGCAAGUCGAACGGUAACAGGUCUUCGGAUGCUGACGAGUGGCGAACGGGUGAGUAAUACAUCGGAACGUGCCUAGUAGUGGGGGAUAACUACUCGAAAGAGUGGCUAAUACCGCAUGAGAUCUACGGAUGAAAGCAGGGGAUCGCAAGACCUUGUGCUACUAGAGCGGCCGAUGGCAGAUUAGGUAGUUAGUGGGAUAAAAGCUUACCAAGCCGACGAUCUGUAGCUGGUCUGAGAGGACGAUCAGCCACACUGGGACUGAGACACGGCCCAGACUCCUACGGGAGGCAGCAGUGGGGAAUUUUGGACAAUGGGCGCAAGCCUGAUCCAGCAAUGCCGCGUGCAGGAUGAAGGCCUUCGGGUUGUAAACUGCUUUUGUACGGAACGAAAAGCCCUGGGUUAAUACCCUGGGGUCAUGACGGUACCGUAAGAAUAAGCACCGGCUAACUACGUGCCAGCCGCCGCCGUAA